rnacentral:rRNA from 1 species
GACGAACGCUGGCGGCGUGCUUAACACAUGCAAGUCGAACGGAAAGGCCCUGCUUUUGUGGGGUGCUCGAGUGGCGAACGGGUGAGUAACACGUGAGUAACCUGCCCUUGACUUUGGGAUAACUUCAGGAAACUGGGGCUAAUACCGGAUAGGAGCUCCUGCUGCAUGGUGGGGGUUGGAAAGUUUCGGCGGUUGGGGAUGGACUCGCGGCUUAUCAGCUUGUUGGUGGGGUAGUGGCUUACCAAGGCUUUGACGGGUAGCCGGCCUGAGAGGGUGACCGGCCACAUUGGGACUGGGGUUCGGCCCAGACUCCUACGGGGGGCAGGAGGGGGGAAUAUUGCACAAUGGGCGGAAGCCUGAUGCAGCAACCCCGCGUGCGGGAUGACGGCCUUCGGGUUGUAAACCGCUUUCGCCUGUGACGAAGCGUGAGUGACGGUAAUGGGUAAAGAAGCACCGGCUAACUACGUG